rnacentral:rRNA from 1 species
AACGAACGCUGGCGGCAUGCCUAACACAUGCAAGUCGAACGAGACCUUCGGGUCUGGUGGCGCACGGUUGCGUAACGCGGGGGAACCUGCCAUUAGGUUCGGCAUAACUCCCCGAAAGGGGUGCGAAUAAGGGGUAAAGUCUUCGGACCAAAGAUCUAUCGCCUUUGGGUGGGCCCGAGUUGGAUUCGCUAGUUGGUAGGGUAAAAGCCUACCAACGUGACGUUCCAUAGCUGGUCUGAGAGGAGGACCAGCCACACUUGGACUGCGACACGGCCCCGACUGCUAGGCGAAGGUGGAGAGUAUUAUAUUGUACGAUGGGCGAUGGUCUGAUCCAGCAAUGCCGCGUGAGUGAUGAAUGGCGUAGGGUUGUAAAGCUCUUUUACACGGGAGGAUACUGACGGUACCGGGAGAAUAAGCUCCGGCUAACUACGUG